GUCUACACUUUUUUUAGAAAAAA
rnacentral:tRNA from 2 species